GACGAACGCUGGCGGCGCGCUUAACACAUGCAAGUCGAGCGAUAACCAGGGCUUCGGCCCUGGGGACAGCGGCGAACGGGUGAGUAUCACGUGGAUAACCUGCCCUCGGCACCGGGAUAGCCCGGGGAAACUCGGAUUAAUACCGGAUAGCCAUUCCGACUCUCGGGUCGGUCUGAAAAGGUAGCUUCGGCCUCUGGCUGAGGAUGGGUCCGCGGCGGAUUAGCUUGUUGGUGGGGUAACGGCCUACCAAGGCGACGAUCCGUAGCUGGUCUGAGAGGACGAUCAGCCACACUGGGACUGAGACACGGCCCAGACGCCUACGGGAGGCAGCAGUGGGGAAUAUUGGUCAAUGGUGGGAACACUGAACCAGCCAUUCCGCGUGCAGGAAGAAGGGUCUCUGACUUGUAAACUGCUUUAGCAAGGGAAGAAAAAGCUCAUGCGUGAGAAAUUGACGGUACCUUGAGAAUAAGCACCGGCUAACUACGUGCCAGCCGCCGCAGUAAAAC
rnacentral:rRNA from 1 species